GACGAACGCUGGCGGCGUGCUUAACACAUGCAAGUCGAACGGAAAGGCCCUGCUUUUGUGGGGUGCUCGAGAGGCGAACGGGUGAGUAACACGUGAGUAACCUGCCCUUGACUUUGGGAUAACUUCAGGAAACUGGGGCUAAUACCGGAUAGGAGCUCCUGCUGCAUGGGGGGGGUUGGAAAGUUUCGGCGGUUGGGGAUGGACUCGCGGCUUAUCAGCUUGUUGGGGGGGUAGUGGCUUACCACGGCUUUGACGGGUAGCCGGCCUGAGAGGGUGACCGGCCACCUUGGGCCUGCGAUACGGCCCAGACUCCUACGUGAGGCAGCAGUGGGGAAUAUUGCACAGUGGGCGGAAGCCUGAUGCAGCAACGCCGCGUGCGGGAUGCCGGCCUUCGGGUUGUAAACCGCUUUCGACUGUGACGAAGCGUGAGUGACGGUAAUGGGUAAAGAAGCACCGGCUAACUACGUG
rnacentral:rRNA from 1 species